UGGCUGUAGCUAAAUCAAACUUCUUAUAGAAGUUAACUGGCCGGUUGUUGCGAAAUCUCUUUGAUUUCUCUCUAUCAACUAAUCUGCUUACCGAACUUCUCACAUUC